ACGGACGUUUGGCCGGGCUCGGUCGGAGGGCGGGUGCGGGUCCCCGCGUGUCACGCUCCAGCACGAGAGGACAAGGAGGGCAGGAGUGAUCACUGACUCGGUGCCUUGGACGGCGGAGCUCCUGUGUUGUUCCUUACGCGUGACGUUUUUUCAUCUCAAGGUGAUCCCGUAAAGUGGAUACUGUUACUAGCCCUAUUUUACAAUCUGCCCAAGAAGGGGUGAGGCCUGGAAGUGAGGCGCGCAGAGAUGGGACGUACAACACCAAGUCUGGAGAGGGCGCCUCCAGGUGCCUUCGGGUGCUGAAAACAUUGCUAUCAUAGUUGGAACUGAAUUUAUUGAACCAUAAUGAGGGAUUCCUGGCACCCGGCACUAAUACGAAGUGUGUUUUUGUCGCUGUCUGAAGAUGCUUCUUUGCAGGGCUUGCUGCCUCUUGAACCAUGAACUUUCUCUCAAAAGCCAUCUGGUUUCUCGUCUCGAAAACAUCCCACGACAGCUCUGAGUGCUACAAACCAGGCUGGGUCAUCUGCUGCUGCUGGCUUCCAGAUAUUGCUCCAAACGUUUCUGCAAGGCUGGUGACGUCCCAAGACACUGAGACUUUAGAUGCCCACUGCCCAAUAUUUGGUAGUGCUCACAAAACAUGUCGAUGGAGAAAAAAGUAUGACUGCAACACGGGGCAGCAAUAGGUAACAGGGAAGACCUGCGCGCACACUAGGUUUACGCCCCGCUUCAUUUGAGGCCCUUGGAGGAAGCUGGAAAAGCAUGUAUGUAGUUCAGUAAUCUCCAACUGGUCUUUCUGUGCAUGAACUCAAGAGCUGGAACUGUAUUACAAAGCAAGGAGCUGGUGCUCAGCAUUCAGCAGGGAGUUCUCAGGGGCCUACGUCCAGGAUUUUAGAUGAUGUUCACCUUUUCAUGAGUGAACUUACCAAGAGUAACUUAAAUCACAGCUUUAGGUAUUCUAACAACAGCUUGUUACAUCCUUGGGCACAGUUACAUGAGGAUGCACCUACAUAUCCAUCAGCAGGUGCGGGGGGAUAGCUCCAACAAAUACCUUUGACCUUGAAGAGACAAACCUGACCACUGUAGUGUGGCCUCAGGCUCUAAAUGCAUGCCUCAGUGCAGCCAGACUUGCUCAACGCCCAGGCAAGGCCACAGAUGGUACCCAGUGCUUCUGUGCGGCUGAAGAAUAUAGUGUAGAGAUCCUGAUGUUUGUUAAUUGCUGCUCUUCCUUCUUUUUUCCUUUCUUUUUAAGAUCUUCUCAUGCAGCAAAGUUCCUGUCUACCAACAUGAGUUGCAGUCUAAAGCCACAGUGAAUUUUGUGACAGUAACAUUAACAAUCCAAUGGAAUAGAAACAUUCUAGUCUUCCUAUAAACGUACUGAACAUGGAGAACAGAAAUGAUUCUAGGCAUGACUUUGGUUUUUUUAAUUCUUCUUGAGGGAGAUAUAAAGAGCACAGCAUCUUUGAAUUCUUGAGGCACUGUCACAAUACGCCAUGUGUUAUGGAAAAGCUGACACACAAAUAUGGGUCAUUAUUACUCUCCUUCUAAGAACUGCAAGAGAGAGAGUGAGAGAGAGAGAGAGAGAGAGAGAGAGAGAAGCUGCAGCAAUCCAGACCAGACGAUAUGCUAACACCAGACAGAAGAAGAAACGAUCAUAUACACACUCACUAUACACUGGACUCCUUACUCUGUACGUACCCUCUGUUCUUUGGUCCAGGUCCCUCAUGAGCUGGAAGUUUCUCUGCAGUUCAAAUGGGAGGUUUUCAAUACCUGGGGAGAAGAGGAGAAAUUGAGCCUCCCUGGACGUCCUAGGCCCUACCGCUGCUUUUAAAGAACAGGUCCAAAACAACACUCGGUUUUCCCUCCUUCAAACCGCUGGAUUAUCUGUUACAGCACUCAUCGUUCUGCUCUCAGGAGAGGUCACGUCCGCCUCUUUCCACAACUAACCCCUCCAUCUCUACACAGCUUUCCCACCCUUCCUCCCUUCAGUGACUUUACAAAUCAGCCUUUCCCUUUCCUUUCUUUCAAUCUCUGUCUCCAAGCUCCUUGCCCUCAACUUACAAAUACCCUCCUGGCAUCCUCCACCACUCAUCACACACACACUUCCAACCUGCUCUCCAUACAGUAGCCAGAAUUGUUCUUUAAAAAAUGCAGAUCUGGGCUUCCCUGGUGGCGCAGUGGUUGGGGGUCCGCCUGCCGAUGCAGGGGACACGGGUUCGUGCCCCGGUCCGGGAAGAUCCCACAUGCCGCGGAGCAGCUGGGCCCAUGAGCCAUGGCCGCUGAGCCUGCGCGUCCGGAGCCUGUGCUCCGCAACGGGAGAGGCCACAACGGUGAGAGGCCCGCGUACCGCAAAAAAAAAAAAAAAAAGCAGAUCUGCUCAAGUCACUGUCCUGUUUAUAACCCUCGAGUAACCUCCUACUGCAAUAUUCCUAUUGCUAUUCUGCACUUUCUGGCCCUUGCUUCCCUCACACCAGCCCUAACUCACAUCAGUCCCUGUCUGUGCUCUCUCUCUGCUGUAUCAUACUGGCCUCCACUGAGUGCCUUGAACUUGCCAGUGCUCUUCAUGACACUUGGCUUUUCACACGCUACUCUCUCUGCCCAGAAUGCCCUGCCCAGUCUUCUUCAUCCCACCUCCACCAUACCUCUUGGCCUUCAAAUUCCUGUUCAUUCUUCAAAGUUCAGCUCAACCCUGACUGCCCCAAACUCCAACAAGUGCCCUGGAUUAUGCUGUCAUGCUAUUUUUUUUUUUAAAUACGUAUUUCGCUGCGUGGGGUCUUAGUUGCAGUACACGGGAUCUUUGUUGCUGCGUGCGGGACCUUUUAGUUGUGGCAUGUGGGAUCUUGUAUUUGCAGCGUGUGGGAUCUAGCUCCCUCCCUGACCACGGAUCGAACCCAGGCCCCCUGCAUUGGGAGUGCGGAGUCUUAACCACUGGACCACCAGGGAAGUCCCUGUCGUGGUAUUCUGUGUCUACCCUUUUGGGCUCUUAUCCAAUGUACUUACAUAAGUAAUUGUGUAAUUAGUUAUUUGGUAUGUCUCCCCAGCUCUCCAGAAGGGUUAGAUGCAUCUGUCUUCUUCCCUAUUUCUCUAGAGUUUAGAACUAUGAUGUGCAUACAGAGGAUCCUCAAUAAAUACUUGAAUAAGUGCAUGAAUACUUAAGUCUCUCUCAUAAAAGAAAAAUCUCUUCCCAUGACUCCACUUCCAACUUUUAAAAUGCCUCCACUGCUUUAACCUAUAAACUCAGGUUCGCCACCACCAGUUUACUGAGACUAAGCCAUCAGUGACUUACCAAGUCAAAUGAUGGGUUACUAGUCUCAUCCUAAAAAAAUUACCUUCGCAGGAUCUGGCACCAUCUUCUCGUCUUCGAAUAACUUUCUUCCUCUUAAGAUUCCAAAUCUCAUCACAUACUUUCUAGCAAUUCCGUCACUGACAUUUCCUUAGCCUGUCCCUUAAAUGUUAAUAUUUUCUUGAGCUUACACUUAAUUUAAUCCUCUAAUUUUCUCACUUGCUUUCUCUGAACGAUCUCCAUCUUAUUUACUCUUACAGAUACAAUUACCAUUCCUAUGCUUAAAUCUAAGUUGAAUAAAUAUGUUACUGUUACUCCUGAAUUUCCUAUCUUGUUGAUGAUUUACUGUCUACCUCACUUCCCAAACAGGAAAUAGAGAAGUCACCUUAGAUUCCUCCUUCUCUCUCAACCACUCAGUCAGUCAAUCCUGUCAUAUUUAACUCCUAAACACUUCUGUCACUCCCUGAGAUCAGGUCCUCAUCUCUGACCAGGACUGUUAUCCCUAACUGAUCUCCCUAUUACCAAUGUCAUCAUGCUCCAAUUUAUCAUGCAACAUUUAUUUUCCUGUAUAUAAAAAAAUCACUCUAUUUAGAAAAUCUGUUGGUUCCUCGCUAUUUAAAGUGCACGCUGGUGGACUUCCCUGGUGGUGCAGUGGUUAAGAAUCCGCCCACCCGCACUGGUUGAGAGUCCGCCUGCCGAUGCGGGGGACGCGGGUUCGGGCCCUGAUCCAGGAAGAUCGCACAUGCUGCGGAGCAACUAAGCCCGUGUGCCACAACUACUGAGCCUGCGCUCUAGAGCCCACGAGCCACAACUACUGAGCCCGCGUGCCACAACUACUGAAGCCGGCGCGCCUCGAGCCCGUGCUCCGCAACAAGAGAAACCACCGCAAUGAGAAGCCCGCACACUGCAACGAAGAGUAGCCCCCGCUCACCGCAACUAGAGAAAGCCUGCGGGCAGCAACGAAGACCCAAUGCAGCUAAAACAAACAAACAAACAAAUAAAUAUAACGUGCGAGCUUCUUAGCUUGGCUUAAACGACCUUGCACAACCUAGCCCCAGCUACCUUCUCCAGUCUCGUUUCCCAAUCUUGCACCUCGGAGUCCUAUACAUCAAACACUCUGGCCUCACUUUUCCCUGGCUUUGCCACAAACCCAUCAUAACACCUUUGCUGAUGCUUUCCCCAACCUGCAAUUCCCUCUCCCUCUCCGCACUCAACCUUCAAGUUUCUAUACAUCACAUCCUCUGUAAAGCUUUACCUACACCCCCAGGUAAUGAGCCCCUCCUUCUCCAGUGUUACCUACUGUCCUUUUAAUGUAUUUCUAUUAUUUCAUUUGUCACACUGUUUUAUAAAUAUUAGCAGAACCUGUGUUCUACUAGACUAUGAGCACUUGAGGGCAAGAGCCGGAUCUUAUUCAUUCUUGUAUAUCGCCAGUACCCGCCAUUAUGUCUGACCCAUAGCAGAACCUCAAAAAACGAAUGAAUGACUCUCAACGGUAAGGCAAAUGUAAGGGCAUAGGGUGACGGACUCUGUGAAGAGGUAGGUUACACAAAUAGCAUAAACAUAACACCAGAUUUCCAUUUGAUGGGAAUUGGAUCUUUACUCCAAGAGAAGCCUUCCGGUUCAUCAUGUGACAGUGGUCACUCGUAACCCCCCAUCCCCACGAGAAGCCGCUUCUUCGAAAGAACUGGUUGGAGGAGCCGCGAGCAGAUCAUCGCUGCUCCAAAUGGCAGUGGAUGAUAUAUUAAUACGAAAACGACCGAUUCGGAACGAUUUUAAGAAAAUGAUAUAUGCUGAGGCCAGAGACUCUGCAGACGGGGGCAGCAAAUAUCUUCCCGGCUAUGCCCACCAGCCCUUCAAGAGCCGUCCCCCAGCCCUGCCGCGCAGCCCCUCCCCCGUCUACACCCCAGAGCGAGGCCUCGACCCCGGUGCCCCGCCCCCUAUUUCUUCACACCCUCCAGUAUUUUCUCUCGCUCAACCUUUCACGACUGUCACUUUCUGACCACCGAGACUUCGGAGCCGUGAAGCUCCUCAGCCCCGAUCCCCCCGACCCGUCUGUGACCCCUGACCCCCUCCUCCAGCCUGCUCUUACUGUCCAGAUAAUGUUCCAAAUACAUCCCCGCAGCCAUCUUGAAGCAAAACAAAGCAACUUCCGCUCCGCCCCGGAAGUGACUGAACGCGAAGGGAGCCGAAGAGCUCCUACCCGGCCUGGAGCCCUUCCGCCCUCACGAGGGGAACUUUCCGCCCUCACGAGGAGAACUUCCGCCCUCACGAGACGAACUUCCGGUCUGAGUACAGGGCCCGCCGAGUUGCCUUCGCCUGGCGCAGACACUGGUCCGUGGCGGGUCGGCCGGGUGCGGGGUCGGCGGCGGUGGCCGCCGCGGCCGAGGGCGCCAUUUUGCGUCCUCGCUCAAACUUCCAUCCCCUCCAGGACGGGGACGUGCGGGCGUGAGAGCAAGGAAACCUGUCUCUUUGGGCUUUCAGUCCACAGAGAGUCCGUCUCAGCAGCUGGGGAAUGUGAAUCGGCCCCUUUGGCGGAAUGUGAAGCUGGCGACCAGAGCAGGUGCCUUCUUCCGCGUCGCUAGUUUCUUAGGAAGUUGAGGAGGCGCCUGGCGAUGCGAGGUUUAAAUCCUCCCCGUUUCUGUUCACUCGCGCGAACACCAACUCCCCAGGAUUAUGUUUUAACGUGGAAACAGUUGAUUAUUUAUAAACUCUACUUAUAAAUACAAAGAACUACUCACACAAUAAAGCUGCGGCUCUCCACACCUUUUGUCAGGGUUCCUGUCACUUGAGGACGUUCUCGCUUGUAAAGUGACAGAGUGCUUCUGGCCUUGCCCUCCUGUUUGUCUCCCUUUUUAUUCGAGUUUGGGUACGAUGUUAACUGGCACCAUAAUUCUGAAAGGAUUGGGGCACGGAGCUGUCACAACGGGGCCAGUUGGAUGCCGACUAUCACCCUGGUCCGCGACAUCACAGCGACAACUACGCUUCUCGUCCGGAUGGAAAGCCACCAAGUGCACGACAGGCCGCCACCACACCAGGGACGCAGAACUCAACGCCCAGAGCCGGAGAGUGUUAGGAAGACAGUUUUGGAGAUCACUGUCACCCCAAAUCACGCGUUCUUAAUAAGUAUUAAUGUCACAUGGCAGGUUUUGGUUUGGGGUUUUUUUUGUUUUUGUUUUUUGGACUGUGCCGCGGCUUGCGGGUCGUUCCCCGCCCAGGGAGUGAAGCCGGGUGGCGGCUGUGAGAGCCCAAGAUCCUAACCACUGGGCCACCAGGGAACGCCCACAUGGCAGAUUUUCAAUGAAACAUUUCAGCCACAUAAUUUAGCUCAAAUAUGUAAAAAAGGACAAGGUGAAACCCCAGGUUUACUACUGAGCAGGUGGUAGAUAGAGCAAUAGAAUCUAGAAGACGUCCCUCUAAUUGCACGCGGCAGACCCUUGGAUUAUCUAAUCUCCGUGCCUAUUUCCGUGUCUAGCAAAAUGCCUGGUAUCCUGCUUACUUCAUAGGGUUGUUGCUGUUGAAGUGUGAGGGUACCCUUCAAAAGAGAUGCUGGUUGUAAUACCUGUGAUGAAGGUAGGGCUCUCAAUGUCAAUUCAACAGUUGGUGAGAACAGGGGAAACGUAGUAAAUAUGCAGGAAACACACACUGCACGUUUGGUCAUAUGUGAUACAGUCGUUAGCGUCACACCACGGACUGAGACUAUCUUGGAUGCCCACACAAGAGCCCGAGCCCUACAGCUAAGAGGUGGUGUUUCAUUGCCUAUCCACACGCCACCAGCUAAUGAGCGUGGCUGCCCGGCAGUCCCACACAGGAUGGCCAUGUUGUCAGACGUGGGAGCUUUGUCACAACUUUUUCAGUGCUUAAAAGAUUUUUAAUUUUCAGAAAGGAAUCUUGGAGGUGAUCUAGCCCAAUCCCUUCAUUUAACAUUUGAAGAAGCAUUGCGGCCGACACUGGUUGAUGGGAGAGCCAGGGGGGAAGUCCAGGUUUCCCGCCCACGCUCUGCCCCUCAGCACUACAACUGUCCUGUUUCAUUCUUCAAUCCCGGUUAUGGGUUCCACCACUGGAAACCUCUGGUUUUAGGUGCCACAGGAUAUGCCAGCUGGAAUUAGCACUGAGCCCACAGAUGCUCUGGCAGCAGUGCAGGUCCUUCCAGGAGGCCGUGCUUCCAUUUCCUGGAUAGGGAGAGCUUCGAGGUAUCUUGUUAACACACGACUGAACCCUGCUCUUACACCUUAGGCGACACAGUCCUCACAGCAGGAUUUGUAUGUAGGAACCCUCAUAAACCAAGAUUUCACUUCAGAGAUUUCAAAGUUGUGCCCUUCUAUGGCUAGGGAUACACACACGGCCCCAUCACACAGCAUUCGUUCUUACCGUUCGCACACUCUACUGUAAAUCCUUAGUACUGGCCUUGAACGUCUCCCCAAAUAGCUGUUUCCCACGCUUACACUCACAUCAGUAGCUCCACUGCCUCUGAUCCUUUUACACGAAUUUAUUUCUAUACAAGGUUCUAAAAACACCCCUUGGUUUUGUACAUAAGUUUUUCUUUUUUUCCUCAUUUUAAAUUACUUUAUAACAACUGGUUUCCUGAUUUUUUUUUCCAUUUUCUGUUUUCUCUGAAAUCUGCCAUGAUUUAAAAAAAAAAAAAAAAGAAAGGAAAUAAAAA